rnacentral:rRNA from 1 species
CCCUUAGAGUUUGAUCCUGGCUCAGAACGAACGCUGGCGGCGUGGAUAAGACAUGCAAGUCGAACGGGACUUUUCGCUGUAGCAAUACAGUGGAAAGUUCAGUGGCGAACGGGUGCGUAACACGUGGGCAAUUUGCCUUAAAGUGUGGGAUAGCUCGGCGAAAGCCGGAUUAAUACCGCAUGUGGCUACUGGAGACAUCUUCGGGACGCUAAAGGUGGCGCAAGCUACCGCUUUUUGAGGAGCCCGCGGCCUAUCAGCUUGUUGGUGAGGUAACGGCUCACCAAGGCGUUGACGGGUAGCUGGUCUGAGAGGACGACCAGCCACACUGGGACUGAGACACGGCCCAGACACCUAUGGGUGGCAGCAGUCGAGAAUUUUUGACAAUGGGGGAAACCCUGAUCGAGCGACGCCGCGUGGAGGAUGAAGGUCUUCGGGUUGUAAACUCCUGUCAUUUGGGAACAAGGCGUAUUUAUUAACUGUAAGUACGUUGAUAGUACCAGAAGAGGAAGAGACGGCUAACUCUGUGCCAGCAGCCGCGGUAAUACAGAGGUCUCAAGCGUUGUUCGGAUUCAUUGGGCGUAAAGGGUGUGUAGGUGGCGCGCUAAGUCGGGUGUGAAAUUUCGGAGCUUAACUCCGAAACUGCAUUCGAUACUGGCGUGCUUGAGGACUGGAGAGGAGACUGGAAUUUACGGUGUAGCAGUGAAAUGCGUAGAUAUCGUAAGGAAGACCAGUGGCGAAGGCGGGUCUCUGGACAGUUCCUGACACUGAGACACGAGGCCAGGGGAGCAAACGGGAUAGAUACCCCGGUAGUCUGGCAGUAACGUGCACGUUUGGUGUGGGAGGAUCGACCCUUCUGCGCGAGCUACGCGUAAACGUGCCGCCUGGGGAGUACGUCGCAGAUAAACUCAAGAA